rnacentral:snoRNA from 1 species
AGCUCAGUGAUUUCAACCAGUCACAUUGGUUUUAUACGCUAUCCUGAUGGGAGCUGUUGAAAAUUAAGAUGUAUGAGAGCU